rnacentral:rRNA from 1 species
AUGUAUGCUUUGGAAACUGUUAGACUUGAGUGCAGAAGGGGAGAGUGGAAUUCCAUGUGUAGCGGUGAAAUGCGUAGAUAUAUGGAGGAACACCGGUGGCGAAAGCGGCUCUCUGGUCUGUCACUGACGCUGAGGCUCGAAAGCGUGGGUAGCGAACAGGAUUAGAUACCCUGGUAGUCCACGCCGUAAACGCUGAGUGCUAGGUGUUAGGUCCNUUCCGGGACUUAGUGCCGACGCUAACGCAUUAAGCACUCCGCCUGGGGAGUACGACCGCAAGGUUGAAACUCAAAGGAAUUGACGGGGGCCCGCGCAAGCGGUGGAGCAUGUGGUUUAAUUCGAAGCAACGCGAAGAACCUUACCAGGUCUUGACAUCCCGAUGCCCGCUCUAGAGAUAGAGUUUUUCUUCGGAACAUCGGAGACAGGUGGUGCAUGGUUGUCGUCAGCUCGUGUCGUGAGAUGUUGGGUUAAGUCCCGCAACGAGCGCAACCCUUAUUGUUAGUUGCCAUCAUUAAGUUGGGCACUCUAGCGAGACUGCCGGUAAUAAACCGGAGGAAGGUGGGGAUGACGUCAAAUCAUCAUGCCCCUUAUGACCUGGGCUACACACGUGCUACAAUGGUUGGUACAACGAGUCGCAAGCCGGUGACGGCAAGCUAAUCUCUGAAAGCCAAUCUCAGUUCGGAUUGUAGGCUGCAACUCGCCUACAUGAAGUCGGAAUCGCUAGUAAUCGCGGAUCAGCACGCCGCGGUGAAUACGUUCCCGGGCCUUGUACACACCGCCCGUCACACCACGAGAGUUUGUAACACCCAAAGUCGGUGAGGUAACCAUUUAUGGGGCCAGC